ACAGGGACUACACGCCCGGCUAAUAUUUUUUCUUUGUAUUUUUAAAUAGAGACGGGGUUUCACCGUCUUAGCCAGGAUGGUCUUGAUCUCCUGACCUUGUGAUCCACCCGCCUCGGCCUCCCAAAGUGCUGGGAUUACAGGCGUGAGCCACCGCGCCCGGCCGAUCUGAUGAUUUUAUAAGGGGCACUUCCCCCUUCUCUCAGCAAUUCUCCUUGCUGCCUUGUGAAGAAGGUACUCUGCUUCCCCUUCACCUUCCGCCAUGAUUGUGAGUUUCCUUAGGCCUCCCAGCCUUGCUGAACUGACCAUUGGUUGAGUGUGUGCGUGGAGGGGAACAGAUGGAUGAACUGAUCCAGCGACUCCCAGGCUGAAAGAACUGAAUGUUCAAUGGUGUACUUAUAGACCACAUUAACUUCUUGGCAAGUGCUGCUGCUGCACAUGUGGGUGGUCCAUCGCUGAAUAUGAAUGUGCUGAAUAUCAUUUGGGCAAGGAGCAAGAGGUGUUCAAGUGAGUUGGAGAGAAGCCCAGAAGGUAUGCUGUUUAUCUUCUAGGAACAUUUAUUUUCUGCAAAACAUAUAACUUGAGUUAAUAAAGUAGAUUUAGAUGUGAAUAAAGGAAACCGGUUAUUGAACCUGCAUCACUGUGCCUCUCCAGGAAUAACUAAAAGUUUUGAAUUUGAAUCCUAGAACAAGAAAAAGAAUAGAGCACAAAUAACUGCUCUUAUCACCUUGCAAGGAAUCACUGGACUGGA
rnacentral:lncRNA from 1 species